UACGGAGGGGACUAGCGUUGUUCGGAAUUACUGGGCGUAAAGCGCACGUAGGCGGAUUUGUAAGUCAGGGGUGAAAUCCUGGAGCUCAACUCCAGAACUGCCUUUGAUACUGGGGAUCUCGAGUCCGGGAGAGGUGAGUGGAACUCCGAGUGUAGAGGUGAAAUUCGUAGAUAUUCGGAAGAACACCAGUGGCGAAGGCGGCUCACUGGCCCGGUACUGGACGCUGAGGCGCGAAAAGCUAGGGGAGCAAACAGGG
rnacentral:rRNA from 1 species